rnacentral:rRNA from 1 species
UACGUAGGGUGCGAGCGUUGUCCGGAAUUACUGGGCGUAAAGAGCUCGUAGGUGGUUUGUCGCGUUGUUCGUGAAAACUCACAGCUUAACUGUGGGCGUGCGGUCGAUACGGGCAUCACUGGAGUUCGGCAGGGGAGACUGGAAUUCCUGGUGUAGCGGUGAAAUGCGCAGAUAUCAGGAAGAACACCAAUGGCGAAGGCAGCUCUCUAGUACGGUACUGACGCUGAGACGCGAAAGCGUGGGGAGCGAACAGG